UGGGGGUAAAGCGCAUGCAGGUGGUUUGUUAAGUCAGAUGUGAAAGCCCGGGGCUCACCCUCGGAAUAGCAUUUGAAACUGGCAGACUAGAGUACUGUAGAGGGGGGUAGAAUUUCAGGUGUAGCGGUGAAAUGCGUAGAGAUCUGAGGGAAUACCGGUGGCGAAGGCGGCCCCCUGGACAGAUACUGACACUCAGAUGCGAAAGCGUGGGGAGCAAACAGGAUUAGAUACCCUGGUAGUCCACGCCGUAAACGAUGUCUACUUGGAGGUUGUGGCCUUGAGCCGUGGCUUUCGGAGCUAACGCGUUAAGUAGACCGCCUGGGGAGUACGGUCGCAAGAUUAAAACUCAAAUGAAUUGACGGGGGCCCGCACAAGCGGUGGAGCAUGUGGUUUAAUUCGAUGCAACGCGAAGAACCUUACCUACUCUUGACAUCCAGAGAACUUUCCAGAGAUGGAUUGGUGCCUUCGGGAACUCUGAGACAGGUGCUGCAUGGCUGUCGUCAGCUCGUGUUGUGAAAUGUUGGGUUAAGUCCCGCAACGAGCGCAACCCUUAUCCUUGUUUGCCAGCGAGUAAUGUCGGGAACUCCAGGGAGACUGCCGGUGAUAAACCGGAGGAAGGUGGGGACGACGUCAAGUCAUCAUGGCCCUUACGAGUAGGGCUACACACGUGCUACAAUGGCGCAUACAGAGGGCGGCCAACUUGCGAAAGUGAGCGAAUCCCAAAAAGUGCGUCGUAGUCCGGAUUGGAGUCUGCAACUCGACUCCAUGAAGUCGGAAUCGCUAGUAAUCGUGGAUCAGAAUGCCACGGUGAAUACGUUCCCGGGCCUUGUACACACCGCCCGUCACACCAUGGGAGUGGGCUGCAAAAGAAGUAGGUAGUUUAACCUUCGGGGGGACGCUUACCACUUUGUGGUUCAUGACUGGGGUGAAGUCGUAACAAGGUA
rnacentral:rRNA from 1 species